UUGAAAACACAUGAAAUGAUAAUUUUAUACAUAUAAAGUUAAUAUAAUAUUAUGUCACGUCGUAGGUCACAUGUCACAGUGUGCGGUAGAAGGAAGUAGAUUCGCUGUUAAAACAGGGAAAAGGAAGUAGAUUAAAACUGAGCUGAAACCAUUUCAAAUGCGCAUUACACAAUACUUCGUUGCUACCAAAUGGCAGGAGAUGGAGAAACAAUGUUAAAGCAAUUCCUAUAUAUCGGAAACACUAACAAAGAUGGCAACUUCGUUUUCUUCACAACAUUUGGUAGUAGCCUUUGAUUUCGGAACAACCUACAGCGGUUAUGCGUUUUCAUUUUCUAACGACCCUUUAAAGGUACAGUCAAACCAAGGCUGGAACUCUGGAACCGAACAAUUAAUUUCACUGAAAACCCCAACAUGUGUGCUUCUUAAUUCUAAAAAAGAAUUUCACUCAUUUGGGUUUGAAGCUGAAAACAAGUAUACAAGCCUUGCAGAAGAAGACAAGCAUCAUGGAUGGUUACUGUUUAGGCGAUUCAAAAUGAUUCUCCAUGAUAACGAGAAUUUAUCUAGGUCAACCACUGUGGAAGACAUUAAUGGGGUUUCUAUGCCUGCCAUGACGAUUUUUUCGAUGUCCAUCAGCUACUUGAGAAAACAUUUUUUGGAAGCUCUUAACUGUCAGACUACAGGUGUGGAAGAAACAGAUAUAAAAUAUGUUCUAACGGUUCCCGCCAUUUGGAACGAUAAUGCGAAACAAUUUAUGAGAGAAUCAGCAGUUCAGGCCGGUUUGGAUACAGAAAGACUGUAAGUCAUCUCUGGAGCCUGAAGCAGCCUCUAUCUGGUGUCAAACUAUAACGACCGAGGCAAAGGAAGUGCUCUCCCGUUCAGGAACACAGUAUAUGGUAGUUGACUUAGGAGGUGGAACAGCUGAUGUAACUGUGCACGAAAGGAAGAUUGACAACACGUUGAAAGAAAUUCACAAAGCAAGUGGAGGUCCUUGGGGCGGUAUUGUGGUUGAUGACAACUAUUUGCAAUGGCUUACUUCGAUUUUUGGAGAGUCGGUAAUGAAACGUUUUAAAGCAGAGCAAAUGGAAGAUUUCUUCCUCCUACUCAGGGAAUUUGAAACCAAGAAGAGGAUCAUCACAAAUGAUACUACAGGCAAGAUUACAUUUAGGAUACCUGCGUCAUUAAAAGAGAUAUAUCGAGAAGAUAAAAUCACCCCGUUGAUGAACAAAAUUGAAUCGUUAGGACUGUCACAAAAGUAACACUAUCUGGAGAUAAAUUGAGAGUUGAUAUUUCCGUUGUCAAUGCCUGGUUUAAAGAACCAGUCGAUGAAAUGAUUGCCCAUGUAAAGGGUAUUUUAGCAGAAAAAAAGAUGAAAAAUGUUAUCUCAGUACUGUUGGUAGGUGGCUUCGGUGAAAGCAAAUUAGUACAAAAAGAAAUGCAGGAGAGAAUUCAAAAUAAACGCAUUAUCAUUCCAAAUGAAGCUGGUUUAGUUGUACUUAAAGGUGCCGUGCGGUUUGGACAUUCGCCUGACAUUAUAUCGUCGGGGAUCAUGUCGUACUCGUAUGGAUUCAAAAUAAGCGAGAAGUUCGAUGAAAGAAAACAUCCAAAAAAUCUAAUAUACCAUUUAAACGGUAGAGAACUGAGUCGAUAAAGUUUUUUUUAUAAAAUUGUAGAAGCUGGAGAAGAAAUUCAACUCGGACAAGACGUGACAGAUUUGCGUAAUCCGUGUACACCAACAUCCUACGACAGAACAGUUUUGAAAGUAUACAGGUCUACAGAAGCAAAACCAAAAUUUGUUAAUGACAGAGGAUGCAGUCUGUUAGGACAACUCAUAAUAGAUCACAAAGAAGGAAAGUCUCUCAAAGAUAAAAAGUUUUCCGUCAAUGUUGCUUUUGGAGAUACGGAAGUAUUUGUUAAGGCAAAACUGGAAAAAAGCGGUACAGAAUUUUCUACAUACAUCGAGUGUCUUGAAAAUUAAGUCACUACAAUAUAAAUAACUAUUCUCGUAUAAAAAAACUAUAUAAUAUUAUUUUGUUCCAAAAAUAUAAAUGACAACGUCCGGAAAAUGGUCCUACAAAAUAUCAGUUCGUUUCAGACUUUUGGUACAUGGGUAAAUAUCUCACAAUUUAUAAUACGCUUAUUUCGGCUAAAUUUUGAUCACACUGAAGGAUUUUUGAAGUAACAAUCAGUUCAAUCAAACAUUUAUGCCAAAGUAUAGCCUUUACCCAAGAAAAACUUGAUUAAAUUUUCUCGACGGUAAACAUGUUCUAUCUACGUAAUAUAUUCUCAAUCACUGACCAAUGUACUUCGUUUAGAUCAAAACAAUGUCAAUCACGAAAAAUAGUCAUAUGACGUUUCCUGCUAUCUAACUUUAUGUUUCAAAUAUAAAAAUUAGCGAUAUUUAAAUAAUGUAAAACAGUGGUAAUUUUAAAGUGAUUAUUAAAGUUUUUUUUACUUAUCGAAACAUAACUUGUUUCUUUUGUAACGAAAAUAUAUGCUGUUCUAUGUGAAUAUAAGUAUAAGACAUUAUUUAUUAUAAAGUGAAAUUUUAAAAAGAGCCUGUAUGUAAGACAUUGUCAGUAGAACUUUUUUUAACUGAUGCUAUUGAUGUCAGCAAAAUAAUGUGUCUAAAGUAAUUGACAAGAAUAUUAAAGUCAGUAGAUUUUUAUUCUACUUUGUAACGGUAAAAAGUGUUUAAAGCAAAUCCCACACAUGACAAAAUGCUAAAAUUUGGAAUAGCAGGAGUGCAUAUGUAUGUACCAAGAGAAGAGCCAAAUAUUAACACUUUGCUAUAGAAAAAGUAAAAAUAACUAGGUUGAGCAAAGACAAUCCUAGAAAGGUCUUGAACUACAUCAGCAAACACAGGAGUAAAUGGUUAAAAAAAUGCCAUACAUUUGAAGUAAAAUUCAAACACUUUCAAGUAGUGAGUACGCACUACAUGAUGAUUUUUGAGAGUGAUUCGAAUUAGAUUGCCAGCGGAGGACAUUUCUAAGACUAUUGAAAGUGACACAAGGCAUAAAAGCUGAGACUGGCAUAUACCGGUUUACUGCCCUCUAUCAUUGUAACACAGAAAUAUUUUACACUGGCAUAUAUUUAGAAUCCUAAUGUUAAAGUAUUAUCAUAAUCAUCUUUAAAACUCGAAUAUUCGGAAUCCCUCUAAUUAUAGAGGCGUUACUAUUGUAAAUAUUCUUAUUAUAUAUAGUAAUGGAUCUAUGCCCAAGGAAAGAAACCUUACUGUAGAACCUAUUUCUACUUUCUGAAUACAUGAUUUAAUAUUGCAGAUGUUAAGGUAUGCUAUGCUUUGAAGCAUAAUGCAUAUUCACGUUGAAACACACGCACGCACGCACGCACGCACGCACGCAAACACACACAUACAUAUAUAUAUAUAUAUAUAUUGAAAAUGUGUAUCCUUAAUUUCUCUUGGCCAUAGGUUUUGUAUGCUUGCCAUAGAUUACAAUAAAUAAAAUAACUAAAAUUGAUUGUUAGUCUAAUUCAUUAUAUUUUGUAUUUUCAAUCUACCACGCCUUUAAACCAUAAAAAAGAAAGGGCAUCAAGAAAGAUAUUACUAGGGAAGGCAACAGCUAUAGCAAAAUCGUUUUUACUUUAUUGUAAGAAAAAUAAAUUUGCGAAAAUGAAAGCAUACAACAGAGGAAAAGUUGACUAUUAUUGUACACUAUACAUUUUUUAAAAAAUCGUAAACAGUAAAUUAAAGUUGUAUUUUUUAUGUUCAUAUACUACGAAGCUCCUAAAGUGACAUCCGACACUUUUAUUUUAGGUGUAUUAUUAUUUUAUUAUUUAAAUUGAAAUAACAUUUAAAUAUUACAAAAUAAUAUUCGGUAAAAACGAAAAUUAUAUUUCUUAGUUCCGAAAUAAUAUUUCGCAUUUGCAAAACAAUAUUUCAGAUUUCCAAAUGCUAUUUCGUAAAUACGAAAUAUUAUUGCGUUUCACAAAUAAUCUGCACUUAAAUUCUUCACAAUCUUUAAGAAAUAUAUUUUGCAAUUACGAAAUAUUAUUUCAUAACUACGAAAUCAGGAAAUAAAGAAGAAUCUUAUGUCUAAUAUAAAGGUACAGAUUAAUUCGUAUCAACAAAAUAGUAUUUCGUGAAAACACAAUAAAAUUUCGUAAAAAAAAUCCGCAAUAUUCUUAUUUCGUAAUACCAAAAUAAAGCUAAAUAAUACGUACUUCUACUUAAACAUUACAUUCUUUUUUGUUUCUUACACACGAAAACGAAUUACGUAUUUACGAAAUGAUAGUUCUUAAUAAAAAUUGAUACUUUUUAGAUACGAAAUAUCAUAUCGGAUAAAUGAAAUGAAAAUAUUGUAAUAUCUAAAAUAAAGUGUCCGAUUGCACGUUAUGUGCUCAGUAGAACAAUAUUUGAUGUCUAGUUCAUGUUGAAGUUAAAACCCAAUCGGAGGGAAACUGAGUAUACAAGGUGCAAAUGUAGUGGUGAAUAUGGUUAAGUACAAAAAUGGGCAUAACUCAAAAAAUAGUAUUUGGACAUUAAAGUCCCAAUAAUAUGCCAUGUCAACUUCAUGACGAAGGUAACAAAUGUAGUUGUGAUAUUUAAUACAAGUGCUGUCGUAUCCUAAUGCUGUUUGUCCAAGAAAGUUCUAUAUUUUGUAACUGACUCGAUAUAAGACCGUUUUUUCUCAAUGCAGUGCUUCAAGAUUUCUUAAGAGACAGAGGUCGAAAAUUGUGUGCCACUGUUUCGGUAGUCAAACAUUUCAAUAUCAACAGAAUCAGUUUUAUCAAACUUUGCAUUCUUUUUUAUUACAUUGUAAAAACCGUUGAAAUAAAGUUCUUUUGGUCCGUUCUUAUUAUAGAAGUCAUUCUAUAUUACUACAUAAUAAGCCGGUGCUAUAGCGGACAUUGUGUGUUGCAAAUUUCAUAAACCUCUCGUGUUCAGUCCGAGUUUGCCAUUAUUUCGUUUGGUGGUGCUUUGCUUCCGUAGCAUAAAUGGUAAAAAAUAGACAACCAUUAUAUCACAUAACGAUGUCAAAUCGCAGUAAAGUACGCAGUGUAUAUCUGUUGCUAUAAAAUGUCUUCUGAUCAUUGUGUAUGUUUGCCAUCAAGCAGUGGCUUCUAUUAAAGUUUAUAUAAUCAAGCUAUGUUAUGGCUGCGCUAAUUCUGUUUAAGUUUAAAAUCAGCUACUAUCUUAUUGGUAAUAAUUACAACAUCUACUAAUUCAAGCAAUUUGAUUGAUUUAGCCGAAAUAUUCACACAGCGAUGAACUCGGCAUCGGUUUUUGUACAGCGAAAUCCCUCUAAACCGAACGGCCUCCGGACCUGAGUAAAAGAUCACUUUGGAGGGGUUUUCGCUGGUCUAUAAAUAGACAUUUUUUGUGUUUGGGACUUGUUGAAAAGGAGUGAAUAUAUGAGAUGGCAUUGUUUGAUUCUAUUGACAUUUUAACAUGUUGUCAAUAACAUAUUGUUCUGAGCAUGGACCUGAACUUAAAACAACGUAUUUACAGUACUAUUUCUGAUAUAUGCGAAUAACUAAUGAAGGAUGUGCUGUUUUGUUUAGUAUAUAAAACAUAGGGAACCGAUCUCGGUUGCCUUAUACAAACAGAUAACACUGCUCGAACUUGAAAAUAACAUUUGCGUUUUAGCUGACAUGCCGUGCAAUACAUAUCUUAGCUUAUAAUAGUCUGUACACGAACAAAACUGAAAUAAAAUGUGUAGAGUUAUUUGAAUGAUGAAUGAGAGCGGACGCAGUGUUUCAGUGGUAACAUUGUUUGGCUACGAAACCAGGGAUCGUGAGUUCGAGUCACCGCUCCUCCAAUUAAAAUUAUUAACCUCGGGAUAAGAGUCCCAUGUAUGGGUAUUUCACAGCUGACACACAAAAUGUUGGUAUUACGGAAAAUCAUAUGCAUUUAUACAUAUCGAAUUUCCAUACCUCACUAUAUGAUUCUCUUACCCCGCAUUGCUAGAGCAGUUUGUAUUCUCGGAUCAAAUAAUUUGCAAACGUUGAACAUUUGUAAGAUUAUGUAUGGUUUGUUUCAAGCGUGUAACAACCCUGAGAAAACCAAUUACGAUCGUUAUCAGGUCACAUUUGACCGCCAUUUGCGAUACUGAACUUGGACGUUUUCAUUUUCUGUCAUACCUUCCAAUUUGUGCUGUUUAUUUAGUAACUUAAUGGUGAGAAUAAGAAAAUAUGUAAUUCUUAUUUAUUCAUUCAUUAUUACUUAUGAAUAUAAAGCAACAUUAAACCAUAAUAAUUCGUAUAGGUCUUAUUAUGAACAAGAAUAUGUGCAGGCCUUUUAUUUAUUUUCAUAUAUUUUAAUAAACAUACUCUAAAAUCACCAUUUAAACACAAGUAUACAUAUAUACGUUCAAAUGUAUGUCGCUGUGACAGUCUUUGCAUGUCCUUGUCCAAGGCUAGUCCAAUUUAGCUUUUUACAAAAGUUUGUGACUAUCUUUACAUGCCUUUGUGACUGUCUUUGCGUGUCUUUUUGACUAUCUUUGCAUGUCUCUUUGCGUCUUCCUCGGAGUCUAGUCCGAUUUCAGUCUUUAAAAAAGUUUAUGUUUUAAUGAUUUCGUUCUUAUUUGUAAUAACUACGACCUUAAUUAUAAUCAUUUUCGGACGAUAAGAAUUUAUUAUGACAGUACAAUUUUUAUUACUGUAUUUUUAUGUCUUUGUGUGACGACACUUGUCUCUGUCAAGGUUCAGUAUAAUUUGUAACAAUUUUACUCAUUUAUUUUAAUAAACAUACCCUAAAAUACAACUUAAACAUAAAAAUACCUACUAGUAUAUGCCUUUAAAUAAAUGUCUUUGUGACUGUCUCGUAUUUGUGCGUAUUUGCAUUUCAGUGUCAAAGUAAAGUUUAAAAAGUUUAUAUCUAGCUAUAUUUUUUUAAUAAUUACUAAUAGUAAAGGCACACCUAAAUCACAUCAUAAGUAUUUUCGGACGAUGGGUAAGAAAAUAAUUUGACUGUACAAUUUUUA
rnacentral:lncRNA from 1 species